CCUACGGGUGGCAGCAGUGAGGAAUAUUGGUCAAUGGACGAGAGUCUGAACCAGCCAAGUAGCGUGAAGGAUGACUGCCCUAUGGGUUGUAAACUUCUUUUAUAUGGGAAUAAAAUGUUCCACGUGUGGGAUUUUGUAUGUACCAUAUGAAUAAGGAUCGGCUAACUCCGUGCCAGCAGCCGCGGUAAUACGGAGGAUCCGAGCGUUAUCCGGAUUUAUUGGGUUUAAAGGGAGCGUAGGUGGAUUGUUAAGUCAGUUGUGAAAGUUUGCGGCUCAACCGUAAAAUUGCAGUUGAAACUGGCAGUCUUGAGUACAGUAGAGGUGGGCGGAAUUCGUGGUGUAGCGGUGAAAUGCUUAGAUAUCACGAAGAACUCCGAUUGCGAAGGCAGUUCACUGGACUGCAACUGACACUGAGGCUCGAAAGUGUGGGUAUCAAACAGUAUUAGAUACCCUUGUAGUC
rnacentral:rRNA from 1 species